UUUGCAUAAGGCCAGCUCAGUCCUCGGCAUUCAAAGAGAACAGGUCUAACCGGGUUACACGCGUGGCUCCAGAACAAAAGAAAAACCUGAUGCUGACAAGUGUUCUCAGUGCUAGAUUUACCAAGCACAGGGAAUGAAUUGUCCUUCAGCAUCCAGAGAUACUAUUAAUUAUUAAUCAAGGCUCAUUGUCAAGAUAAGGUGCACCUGUGUACAAGUGUUGCUUGGGAAGAUUCAAUCAUUCUUCAUCCAGGUUAAGGCCAAGUACAAGUUCCAUGGCUUCUGACGUUGAUUCUCACCUAUCAAAGAAAGCUGUCCUUGAGGCASAAGGAAGACGGUAAAUAUCCAUCUUGGAGAGCUCUACUGUCUUGUAGUUACAACACUAAGGGUUAAGGUUGUCCCUGCAGACAGCUAGGCAGGUAUUUUGAUAAGCAGGUCUAGCACUUAGGUGAUUUUUCUAAGCAUUCAUGUCACUGAGUCCAAGUAUUUGCAUACCAGUUCAUGUCUUGGUGAGUAUUUAAAGCUUUCAUCAUCAAAAUAAUGCCUUAGCAUAAUAUCAGCUUGAACAAUCAGUCCAGAGCAGGAAAAGCUAAGAAGUGAGCAAAGAACUGGCAAGCAGUAAAGAGAACUUCCCUUCCCAGGAAGGAU